AUGCAAGUCGAGCGGAACGAUCCUAGCUUGCUAGGAGGCGUCGAGCGGCGGACGGGUGAGUAAUGCAUAGGAAUCUACCCAGUCGUGGGGGAUAACCUGAGGAAACUCAGGCUAAUACCGCAUACGUCCUACGGGAGAAAGCGGGGGCUCUUCGGACCUCGUGCGAUUGGAUGAGCCUAUGUCGGAUUAGCUAGUUGGUAAGGUAACGGCUUACCAAGGCGACGAUCCGUAGCUGGUCUGAGAGGAUGAUCAGCCACACCGGGACUGAGACACGGCCCGGACUCCUACGGGAGGCAGCAGUGGGGAAUAUUGGACAAUGGGCGAAAGCCUGAUCCAGCCAUGCCGCGUGUGUGAAGAAGGCUUUCGGGUUGUAAAGCACUUUCAGCGAGGAAGAAAGCGUGCCGUUUAAUACACGGUACGGACGACAUCACUCGCAGAAGAAGCACCGGCUAACUCCGUGCCAGCAGCCGCGGUAAUACGGAGGGUGCAAGCGUUAAUCGGAAUUACUGGGCGUAAAGCGCGCGUAGGCGGCGUGUCACGCCGGGUGUGAAAGCCCCGGGCUCAACCUGGGAACGGCAUCCGGAACGGGCAGGCUAGAGUGCAGGAGAGGAAGGUAGAAUUCCCGGUGUAGCGGUGAAAUGCGUAGAGAUCGGGAGGAAUACCAGUGGCGAAGGCGGCCUUCUGGACUGACACUGACGCUGAGGUGCGAAAGCGUGGGUAGCAAACAGGAUUAGAUACCCUGGUAGUCCACGCCGUAAACGAUGUCGACUAGCCGUUGGGUCCCUUGAGGACUUAGUGGCGCAGUUAACGCGAUAAGUCGACCGCCUGGGGGAGUA
rnacentral:rRNA from 1 species